rnacentral:rRNA from 1 species
AGUGAACGCUGGCGGUAGGCCUAACACAUGCAAGUCGAACGGCAGCACAGUAAGAGCUUGCUCUUACGGGUGGCGAGUGGCGGACGGGUGAGGAAUACAUCGGAAUCUACUUUUUCGUGGGGGAUAACGUAGGGAAACUUACGCUAAUACCGCAUACGACCUACGGGUGAAAGCAGGGGAUCUUCGGACCUUGCGCGAUUGAAUGAGCCGAUGUCGGAUUAGCUAGUUGGCGGGGUAAAGGCCCACCAAGGCGACGAUCCGUAGCUGGUCUGAGAGGAUGAUCAGCCACACUGGAACUGAGACACGGUCCAGACUCCUACGGGAGGCAGCAGUGGGGAAUAUUGGACAAAGGGCGCAAGCCUGAUCCAGCCAUACCGCGUGGGUGAAGAAGGCCUUCGGGUUGUAAAGCCCUUUUGUUGGGAAAGAAAAGCAGCAGAUUAAUACCCCGCUGUUCUGACGGUACCCAAAGAAUAAGCACCGGCUAACUUCGUG